rnacentral:rRNA from 1 species
AAACAUCUCAGUACCCGCAGGAAGAGAAAACAACCGUGAUUCCGGGAGUAGUGGCGAGCGAAACCGGAUGAGGCCAAACCGUAUGCGUGUGAGACCCGGCAGGGGUUGCGCAUUCGGGGUUGUGGGACCUCUCUUUCAUGGUCUGCCGGCCAUGAGACGAGUCAGAAACCGUUGAUGUAGGCGAAGGACAUGCGAAAGGUCCGGCGUAGAGGGUAAGACCCCCGUAGUCGAAACGUCAGCGGCUCGUUUGAGAGA